AUUGAACGCUGGCGGCAGGCCUAACACAUGCAAGUCGAGCGAGCGGCGGACGGGUGUGUAUUGUCUGGGAAACUGCCCGAUGGAGGGGGGUAAAAACUGGAAACGGUAGCUCAUACCGCAUACCCUCAGAUGUGCCCCGAUGGGAUUAGCUAGUAGGUGGGGUAACGUCUCACCUAGGCGACGCUCCCUAGCUGGUCUGAGAGGAUGACCAGCCACACUGGAACUGAGACACGGUCCAGACUCCUACGGGAGGCAGCAGUGGGGAAUAUUGCACAAUGGGCGCAAGCCUGAUGCAGCCAUGCCGCGUGUAUGAAGAAGGCCUUCGGGUUGUAAAGUACUUUCAGCGGGGAGGCGUUACCCGCAGAAGAAGCACCGGCUAACUCCGUGCCAGCAGCCGCGGUAAUAC
rnacentral:rRNA from 1 species